rnacentral:rRNA from 3 species
GGUGUGUAAGCGCAGCGAUGCGUUGAGCUAACCGGUACUAAUGAACCGUGAGGCUUAACCUUACAACGCCGAAGC